CCAAAAUCUUCUAAAACAAAUUAAAUCAUUUUCAGUGGUUUGCCAUGAAAAAUCAGUUUCAAGAAAAUGGAUGUUUUCAACAUCUGUUUCUAAAUAACUACUCAUUAGUAAACAUCUUCCAAUGAGGAAUUAUAAUGCCACACUUGUUGAAAUUACUGCAGUCCACUAAAGAUCGGUGUACUUUUGUCAACGAUAACUAUUACCUUUAUGCCAACUUAACUGUCACUGUGCCUUUAAGACUAACUGCUUAAAGAGCAAUUUCUCCCAACAGAAGUUCAUCCUAUAAUCUUAGAGGCAUUUUGUGAGGUGUAAAUUGUUCAGACACUCAACCUAUUACUCCAUUUACCUAUCUUUGGAGAUUUAAAAUAUUUUAUGAUAUUGAGAUUAGCCUCUCACCUUAAUUUUGCUCGGGAUUUGAAAUCAAGAAAUGAGACUUGAGGACACUGAAAGACCACGCAAACCAUCUGAGCUCCUGCUGAGUCAGGCAGUGGUAGAAUUAAGGAAGAUGGAUCUUCAAGUCAGCACAAUGGUAGCAGGCCUUGCUUCAUCAUGGAAAUUACCAUACCUGUUUCCUAAAACAAUGGAAAUGAGUGUAAUUUAAAAGUUCAGAGCAUGACUUCUAGAGGCAGGUCCUAAAGAUCACUUCAAACUCUUAUUUAUUAAUUAAAUAAUACUAAGAAUUUUACAUGUCUUAAUACUCUCAGAUUUUUUAAUUAGGGAAAAGUAAACAAUUGUAGUGAAUACAAAAAUAUUUUUGAGGGUGAAAUUAAGCAAUGUACUUAAUGUGUUUACAGUAGCUAUGAAACUCAAUAAAAGCUAAUUUCCCCAUUUCUCAUUGAACUUUUAGAGAUUAUGUACCAAAUUCAUGUCCAAAAGUGACAAUUUUGAAGUAAUUUUUUAAUUAAUUACAAAAUAAUGAAAUAAAAUGUUUAAAACAGUAAAUAUUGGUG
rnacentral:lncRNA from 1 species